GCUGAAAUAGCUCAGUUGGGAGAGUGUUAGACUGAAGAUCUGAAGGUCCCUGGUUCAAUCCUGGAUUUCAGCA
rnacentral:tRNA from 1 species